rnacentral:tRNA from 1 species
GUUUUAAUAGUUUAUUUAAAAUAUUGAUUUUGUAAAUCAAAGAUAAAAUUUUUUUUUAAAACU